GAUUUGGUUUUGUUAGAUUUUCAUAUCUGGGGAUGCUAAACCAGCAAUUGUUCGUUUUCAUGAUGGUUUUCAAUUAUUUGGCCACUUUAUCAAAGUCAAUAUGGCACGAUUUAAUAGUAGAAGCAAGUUUUGGAAAAAGGUCGAGCAUGGGAGAAGAAAAAAGGUAGAAAAGUCUAUUCUAAAGGCUUCGUUGAACAUUCAAGGAAGGAUGGAGGUGAGCUAAGGAAACUGUAACAUUAGGAAACAAGAAGGCAAGAGUUCAAGGGAGCAUAAGCAGGAUAGAGCAG
rnacentral:lncRNA from 1 species